AGAGUUUGAUCCUGGCUCAGGAUGAACGCUGGCGGCGUGCCUAACACAUGCAAGUCGAGCGCGAUUAAAUGAAGUGGAGAGCUUGCUCAAAGUGACAUUUAUGAAAGCGGCGGACGGGUGAGUAACGCGUGGGCAACCUGCCCUGUGCAGAGGGAUAGCCACUGGAAACGGUGAUUAAUACCUCAUGGAGCUAUUGAACCGCAUGGUUUAAUGGUGAAAGUUCCGGCGGCACAGGAUGGGCCCGCGUCUGAUUAGCUAGUUGGUGAGGUAACGGCUCACCAAGGCGACGAUCAGUAGCCGACCUGAGAGGGUGAACGGCCACACUGGAACUGAGACACGGACCAGACUCCUACGGGAGGCAGCAGUGAGGAAUAUUGGACAAUGGGCGCAAGCCUGAUCCAGCCAUGCCGCGUGCAGGAUGACGGUCCUAUGGAUUGUAAACUGCUUUUGCACAGGAAGAAACAACGCUACGUGUAGCGUCUUGACGGUACUGUGAGAAUAAGGAUCGGCUAACUCCGUGCCAGCAGCCGCGGUAAUACGGAGGAUCCAAGCGUUAUCCGGAAUCAUUGGGUUUAAAGGGUCCGUAGGCGGUCUUAUAAGUCAGUGGUGAAAUCUCCCCGCUCAACGGGGAAACGGCCAUUGAUACUGUAGGACUUGAAUUAUUAGGAAGUAACUAGAAUAUGUAGUGUAGCGGUGAAAUGCUUAGAGAUUACAUGGAAUACCAAUUGCGAAGGCAGGUUACUACUAAUGGAUUGACGCUGAUGGACGAAAGCGUGGGUAGCGAACAGGAUUAGAUACCCUGGUAGUCC
rnacentral:rRNA from 1 species